rnacentral:rRNA from 1 species
UACGGAGGGGGCUAGCGUUGUUCGGAAUUACUGGGCGUAAAGCGCGCGUAGGCGGACCUGCAAGUCAGGGGUGAAAGCCCGAGGCUCAACCUCGGAACUGCCUUCGAUACUGCGGGUCUCGAGUCCGGGAGAGGUGAGUGGAAUUCCUAGUGUAGAGGUGAAAUUCGUAGAUAUUAGGAAGAACACCAGUGGCGAAGGCGGCUCACUGGCCCGGUACUGACGCUGAGGCGCGAAAGCGUGGGGAGCAAACAGG